UACGGAGGGUGCGAGCGUUAAUCGGAAUUAUUGGGCGUAAAGAGCUCGUAGGCGGCUUGUCGCGUCGGAUGUGAAAGCCCGGGGCUUAACCCCGGGUCUGCAUUCGAUACGGGCAGGCUAGAGUUCGGUAGGGGAGAUCGGAAUUCCUGGUGUAGCGGUGAAAUGCGCAGAUAUCAGGAGGAACACCGGUGGCGAAGGCGGAUCUCUGGGCCGAUACUGACGCUGAGGAGCGAAAGCGUGGGAAGCGAACAGG
rnacentral:rRNA from 1 species